UACAAUCGAUGAUGAAUUAUUGUCCUAUUUCCUGAUGUAUAUGUGAUUAUCAUAACAAAUAUCACCAUCUUUCGACUGAAAUUGUA